UGGAGGGCAAGUCUGGUGCCAGCAGCCGCGGUAAUUCCAGCUCCAAUAGCGUAUAUUAAAGUUGUUGCAGUUAAAAAGCUCGUAGUUGAAUUUCGGGACCAUCAUGUCGGUCGUGCCUCGGUACGUACUGGCAUUGUUGGUUUCUCCCUUCUGACGAACCAUGAUGUCAUUUAUUUGGUGUUGUGGGGAAUCAGGACUGUUACUUUGAAAAAAUUAGAGUGUUUAAAGCAGGCUCACGCUUGAAUACAUUAGCAUGGAAUAAUGAAAUAGGACGUUUGAUUCUAUUUUGUUGGUUUCUAGGAUCGACGUAAUGAUUAAUAGGGAUAGUUGGGGGCAUUAGUAUUCAAUUGUCAGAGGUGAAAUUCUUGGAUUUAUUGAAGACUAACUACUGCGAAAGCAUUUGCCAAGGAUGUUUUCAUUAAUCAAGAACGAAAGUUAGGGGAUCGAAGACGAUCAGAUACCGUCGUAGUCUUAACCAUAAACUAUGCCGACUAGGGAUCGGAUGAUGUUAAUUUUUAUUGACUCGUUCGGCGCCUUACGGGAAAC
rnacentral:rRNA from 1 species